ACUGAACGCUGGCGGCAUGCCUUACACAUGCAAGUCGAACGGCAGCACGGGGCAACCUGGUGGCGAGUGGCGAACGGGUGAGUAAUGCAUCGGAACGUACCUUUCAGUGGGGGAUAACGUAGCGAAAGUUACGCUAAUACCGCAUAUUCUGUGAGCAGGAAAGCAGGGAUCGCAAGACCUUGCGCUGAUUGAGCGGCCGAUGUCAGAUUAGCUAGUUGGUGAGGUAAAGGCUCACCAAGGCGACGAUCUGUAGCGGGUCUGAGAGGAUGAUCCGCCACACUGGAACUGAGACACGGUCCAGACUCCUACGGGAGGCAGCAGUGGGGAAUUUUGGACAAUGGGGGCAACCCUGAUCCAGCCAUGCCGCGUGAGUGAAGAAGGCCUUCGGGUUGUAAAGCUCUUUCGGCCGGGAAGAAAUCGCACGGGCUAAUACCCUGUGUGGAUGACGGUACCGGAAUAAGAAGCACCGGCUAACUACGUGCCAGCCGCCGCAGUAACAC
rnacentral:rRNA from 1 species